AGCAGGAAGAGAUGCCUGUCAGUAGGGCCUUGGAAGCCCUGUCACGGCCGGGCACCAGGCCAGUACACGAGGGAGGAAUGAUCAUGCUACAGUCUUAUGCCAGUUGUCAUGCAAAAGUCAUUGUCACCUUUUGGGGACUGGUCAUGCUAAUGUCUUCCCUUUGCUACUCCAGUAAUACUAUCUCAUUCUUAUAUAGCCAUCUCAAAGCACUUAGGGAUCAUUAUCCCCAAUUUACAGAUGGGGAAAGUGAAGCAGAGAGACACAGUGACAUGCCCAAGGUUACCCAGCAACCCAGUGGCAGAGCUGGGACUAAAACCCAGGUCUCACAAAUCCUAGUCCAGCGUGCUAGCAACUAACCAACACUGUUUGAACUCUAACAAGGUGGUGCUUCCAGGGUUGCUCCAAGCUGGGAGGAUGGGGGAUUAAAAUGAUGCAGCGGGGUGAUGCGAGCUGGUGAAGGAGCAGAGCACAGUGCCAAUACUCAGUUCCUCCUGCAAAAAGUUGGAGAGGAGUAGUGUACCACUCUUGGAUGUUCGCCUGAGACUAGCUACCCGUCCCACCUGCCUGAGUAAACGUUUCAGUGAGGUUCUCUUUUCUCCCCUCCUCCUCACAGCAGUCCCUUUCCCCCUGAGCACCCAUCCUUCAUGACUGAUGCUGAGUUACCUGCAAGGGUCAGCACCGCCAUGCUUCGCGAUGGACACUUGACAAAAUUACGACACAUUGCUGACCCCUGGUUACCUGGCAUUUCAAGGCCUCCAGCUGGUCCUUCAGCACUGCUGCAGGAGCCAGCCUACAGCCUUCAGGGAGCCAGCAAGACAGGCCAGUUCAGAGUGGCUGCAUGUGGCACCGUGAUAUGGAAACAGCUGAGAAGCCCUAAAUUAGGUCAUGCCCAUGGUAGGAGAUGGUACCAUGCAUGAGUCAGCAGGUAAGAAAAGCAUGAAGAUAAAUUUAAGGUCUCCAAGUGCCCAGCCUAACAAAGGCGUUCUGUGCUACCACAGAAGCUUGCUCCAGAAGACCUACAUUUACUGUCAGCCUCUCCCGGGAGCUUUGAAUCUCCUUUGCAUUUUUCAGUUCGUUUCAGAUACAAUUUUGGAUCAUGAGCUGUUUCAACAGGAGGGCAACUGAACUGUUCAAGACCACAUCUCUCUGCUACCAGCAACUCCAUCUAAGAGCCAUCUGAAACAAUGGGCUUAGCAAAAUAAGGCUAUUGUAUGAUAUAGGGAAACAGUUGGUCCAGUGGAUAAGUGUGGCCUGGAGGUUGGGAGGUGUGGAUUCUAGUCUCAGUUCUGCCACUGACCUGCUGCGUGACCGUAGGCAAGUCACUUCCCCACCCUGCCUCAGUUUCCCCUCCUGUUUAGAAUGUAAACUCUCUUGUGUAUGGCCAGGGCUUAGCAGAACAGGGACACAGCCUGGGGCCCAUAGAUGUUACUCUAAUACAAAUAACAACAAAAUAAGAUGUCUGCACUGGCUCUCAAGCUGUGUUUGAAAGCUUCAGCAUGUCUGUAGCUGAAAUAAUCUAGUACUGUUUGGCUGGCCAAUGUGGAUGGGGCCAAGCUAUAGUGGAGCCUACAUCUAGCCUCGAUUCCUAGCCAGGUUUGAGCACUGUUGUUUUAACACAGUUGGAUCCCUAUCCAUGCUGGCCAGCCAAACUCUGGAGCACAUUUGGGUGCAACUGUACUAGGUGUGGGUUAUCUGUACUUCAAAGCCAGGACAGAUGGAACUGGAGUCCUUCGGAAAGUCAGGAGAAGAAAGAGAAAUUAUAGGUGCUGACUGGCUGGUGAGGUCACAUGAUGAGGCAUAUACAUGGUCAAUAAUUCUUCCACUCUUGUUCUAACCCCACCCAGAGAAUGCUGGUGUAGGCUGGGUGUUCUGAUCUCCAUAUCCUCUAAACACACUCUCAGCACCAGGCCGUCCCCAGUUGUUAGAGGACGGGAUUGUGGUGGGAGCUGGACUCUUUGUGCUGCUGAGAAUAUUUCUUUGCUUCUUUCAUUCUAAUUUUUGCAUCCCAAACCUCAGUAAUUUUGGCUGAGUCAAUCUUACUUAAGGUAAUCAGACAGCAAGUGUGAAAAAUCGGGAUGGGGGUGGGGGGUAAUAGGAGCCUAUAUAAGAAAAAGCCCCCAAAAUCGGGACUGUCCCUUUAAAAUCGGGACAUCUGGUCACCCUAAACUUGCUUAGUGCAUUGUUGUUAAUAGAGUUGGCUACAUGCUGCAGCAACUUGCAUGGCUCCGGGACACCGUCAAAGCCAUGGCUGUGCAUCAGCACUGACCUGGUGUCUUUCACACCUAGCAAUAUGACAAAUGCCAAGCACAGGUGGCCUUUGAGUCUACAGCUAGGAGCUGGUCUAAAGGGUGUGAGGUUCUCUGCCCUCCCUGAGUGAAAAUGGAGGUGGUGGCUGUUUUCUGUGCAAUAACAAAGCUGGAUUCUUCCAGCCCAAUGAAUCACUUUCAGUUGCGUUUGUAAAACUGCAGCUUUGGUACAGUCCCCGUUCUUAGACUCCUUUAUGGGAGGAGGAGGAGGAGGAGGGUUUACAAUUA